UUCAAGUGGUGUCAUUUUAAAUAAAACAAAUAUGAGUGAUACUUACUCAAACACUUCAAAUAAAAUAAAACACAGUAAUAAAAUGAUAAGUAUGAAUAAUAAUAUACCGCUUGGUGAAUAUAAUACAAAUGACGUAUUAAAAAAGAAACAACCAGAGGUAGUUCUAUCACAUAACAGUAUAAAACAAACACAAAAAAUGGAAACAAGUAAUAAUUCUGUAACUUCUAAAAAUUUUAAUCGUUUUAAUUUUUAUUAUAAUGGUGAUAGUAAUGCAAAAUGUGAACAAUAUAAGUUUAAACAACAUAAUGAUAAAAGUUUAACCAAUUAUUAUAAAUCAAAAAAAGAAAAUGGUAGUGGUAAUGGUAGUGGUAACGGUAGUGGUAAUGGUAAUGGUAGUGGUAAUGGUAGUGGUAAUGGUAAUGGUAGUGGUAAUGGUAGUGGUAAUGGUAGUGGUAAUGGUAGUGGUAAUGGUANNNNNNNNNNGCAAAUGCGGAUGCUUAUAAAAAUGCAAACAUAAACACAAAUACUUACGCAAAUGCAAAGACUAUGACUUACGCAUUAAAUGAACAAAAAAAAACAAACAAAAUGUGGAAUAGCCAUGAAAUCGGUAAUAAUUAUAAUAGUGUAUAUAAGGACAAGCAUGAUAUAACUUAUUAUCCUGGUUAUACAAUAAACGAAACAGUACAAAACAACACUUUACAUAAUGAACAAUACAAUUUAAAAAAAAAACUCGAACUAGAACAUCAAACUAAACUCUUAAAUAAUUUAUUAAAUGUAAAAAAUAAACAGAAUAACGAAUUAAAAAAAAUAUUACAAAUAAAAAAUAAUGAAAUGAAUAUAAUUAAAAACAAAUUAAAAAAUAAUUUUUACAAUGAAAAUGGAAAUAAAAACGAAACUAAAUGGAUGAAUACACUAAUUUAUAAAAAAAUAUUAACAGCUGGUCCAUCUGAUCCCGUUGAAUUUAUUUUAAAGAAAAGUAAAAUAAAAAAUGGGUAUACUAACAUUUCAAAGUAUGUUGAUACUGCAAAGUAUGCUAGUAUGAAUGGACAUAUCAAUACUAAUAAACAUAUUGGAACUAAUACGAACGAUAUGGGAAAUAAUGUAUACAACCCAGUAUAUACACAUGAUAGGGAAAAUACAUACAGUAAUAUAAAUACAUAUUAUAGGAAAAAUAUAAACAAUGGGGCAAACAUUAAUAAUGAGACAAACAUUAAUAAUAAGGUAAACACCAACGAUGGGGUAAAUAAUAAUUAUAAAACAGUUAAUCCAUAUACAUCAAAUGAUGUAAUAAAUAAAUAUAACUAUUAUGACUACUACAGUAACAAUCCAACUGUAUUAAAAAAAAAAAAUAACGAAACGGAUAAUAACAUGUUAAAAUAUAUAACUACUACUAGUAAUAAUAAUAAUAAUGGUACAUAUCCUAGUAAUUAUACAAUUAGGAUUACUGAUGAAAAUAACAAUAAUAAUGCAAAAGUAAACAAUAAUAAUGCAAAAGUAAACAAUAAUAAUGCAAAGGUAAACAAUAAUAAUGCAAAAGUAAACAAUAAUAAUUGUUUAUAUAAAUUGAAAGUUGCAUCUAUGUGUAAAACUACAAAUAAAUUAAUGCAGCUCAGGCCGACAAACAACAAUUCUAAUAUUUUUUAUAAUCGUGUAAAUAAUACCAAAUCUGAUAAAAAAGGUAUUUAUAGAAGUAUGACAACAAUAAAUAAUAAAACUAAUACAAAUGAAAUAAAAAAUAUGAACAUGUCAUAUAAUUUAAAUAUUCCUAAUAAUAUAAAGUCAUCAUAUUCUUUACCACAAAAUAAAUCAUAUAAUAUAAUAAAUAAUUCUUAUGUUAAUAAUAAAAAUAAUGAUAAAAAAAAUUUUAGUUCAAAUUAUCAAUCAAAUAAAAAUAAAACAAUUCCAUCUGUUUUAUCAUCUAAUUCAAAAUUAGACGAGUUUACAAAAAGUGAAAAGUCUAUAUCGAAGAAUCCUCGUUUAUCUUUAUCUUGUUAUUAUACUAAAUCCGAUAAUAAAUUUUUUAAUCCUUUAGAUUCUUAUCGACUUAACAUGGAUUGUUAUAAUAUUGCUACUGAUAGUGUAGCUAAUGGAUAUAGUAAUAGAGAUAAUGUUCUUAAUCGGUCUUCUUAUAAUAGUAGUAUUAACAUUAGUCUUAAUAAAAACAUGAACAACAACAGUUUGAACAAUAGUUUGAACAACAACAGUUUGAAUAAUAGUUUGAACAACAACAGUUUGAAUAAUAGUUUGAAAAACAACAGUUUAAACAAUAGUUUGAAAAACAACAGUUUGAACAAUAGUUUGAACAAUAGUUUGAAAAACAACAUUUUGAACAAUAGUUUGAACAAUGAUAAUUCUGCCAUGAGUCGACAUGUCGGUGAUCCUAUUUAUAUUUCCCUGAGUAAUCCAAUUGGAGGUGCAUAUAAUACAACUAUUCCACAAAAGACUAGAAGGGGAAUUUUAAAAACAGAAAAUCAAAACUUACAGAGCUCAUUAUGUUGGCCUUUAAAUAAACUUUCUUCUAAAAAAAAAGAUAAUACAAAACACAUAAAAGAAAAACGCCAAAAUAGUAGUAUUUUUUCUAAAAUAUGUUCUUAUGUAAAAAAUAAUAGUUUUUGUGGUGAGAAAAAAUUUGAUAAAGUUUUAAAACAAAAUAAAUCAAUGAACCUAUAUUUUAAAAAUAAAAAAAAGGAAAUAAGUAACAGUAAUAAUUAUAACAGGUCAAAAAGUUUAGGUUAUUUUACCGAUGCACAUCGAGUGAAUCAAUGGGUAAACAAUGAUUACUCUAUUCCGUUACAAAACAAACAAAAUCAAACAGGUAACAAAGAAAACCAAACAGUUAACAAACAUAACUACAUAGUUAGUGAAGAAAAUUACACAGUUAACAAACAUAAUAGUACAUGCAACAAUUUAAAAAACAUACAAGGAGAUAGUAUAGUAUACGAAAAUGACGAAGAAAAAAAAGCCAUAUAUAAUACAAUAAUAAAAACAUUCCCAACUAAUUUAUUUUACCACGAUUUAUCUAAAAUAAAUAAUGAAGAUAUAACAAUGAAAUAUAAAGAAAACGAGACAAAAAUAACAACAGAUGAAAUAAAAAAAAAUACAUUAUAUUAUGAACAACUCAAAAAUGUUACACAGAAAAAUAAUAUAAAUAUAAAUAGUAAUAGAAAUCCAGAAAUACAAAUAAAUCAUGACAACGUCGCAAGAUCACAUAGUAGCAGUAACAUUAAUAUCAAGGGUAGUGAGCAAAGUAGUGACAAUAAACAGAGUGACAAAAAUAAACAAAGUGGUACUGAUAAACAAAGUGGUACUGAUAAACAAAGUGGUACUGAUAAACAAAAUGGUACUGAUAAACA
ensembl:lncRNA